AGAACGAACGCUGGCGGCAUGCCUAAUACAUGCAAGUCGAACGAACUCUUCGGAGUUAGUGGCGCACGGGUGCGUAACGCGUGGGAAUCUGCCCCUUGGUUCGGAAUAACAGUUGGAAACGACUGCUAAUACCGGAUGAUGACGAAAGUCCAAAGAUUUAUCGCCAAGGGAUGAGCCCGCGUAGGAUUAGCUAGUUGGUGAGGUAAAGGCUCACCAAGGCAACGAUCCUUAGCUGGUCUGAGAGGAUGAUCAGCCACACUGGGACUGAGACACGGCCCAGACUCCUACGGGAGGCAGCAGUAGGGAAUAUCGGACAAUGGG
rnacentral:rRNA from 1 species